GAUGAACGCUGGCGGCGUGCCUAAUACAUGCAAGUCGAGCGAACGGACGAGAAGCUUGCUUUUCUGAUGUUAGCGGCGGACGGGUGAGUAACACGUGGAUAACCUACCUAUAAGACUGGGAUAACUUCGGGAAACCGGAGCUAAUACCGGAUAUAUUUUGAACCGCAUGGUUCAAAAGUGAAAGACGGUCUUGCUGUCACCUAUAGAUGGAUCCGCGCUGCAUUAGCUAGUUGGUAAGGUAACGGCUUACCAAGGCAACGAUGCAUAGCCGACCUGAGAGGGUGAUCGGCCACACUGGAACUGAGACACGGUCCAGACUCCUACGGGAGGCAGCAGUAGGGAAUCUUCCGCAAUGGGCGAAAGCCUGACGGAGCAACGCCGCGUGAGUGAUGAAGGUCUUCGGAUCGUAAAACUCUGUUAUUAGGGAAGAACAUAUGUGUAAGUAACUGUGCACAUCUUGACGGUACCUAAUCAGAAAGCCACGGCUAACUACGUG
rnacentral:rRNA from 1 species